rnacentral:tRNA from 2 species
GCGGAUGUAGCCAAGUGGAUCAAGGCAGUGGAUUGUGAAUCCACCA